rnacentral:rRNA from 1 species
UACCUUUUGUAGAGCGAUGUGGUGACGCAGGAGUGAAAGAUCCGCGAACUGACGGAAUAGUUCGUUAAAGCUUGUAGAUAUAUUUGUUGUAGGCAAAUCCGCAACGAAUGUCGAAGGUGAUAGUACUCAGAGUCUUCGGACAAUGGGAUAGUGAUCCUAAUCAGACUGCCAAGAAAACCCGCUAGCUUAAUCUACAAAAGCCCGUACCAAAACCGACACAGGUUGUCUAGGAGAAAAUUCUGAGGUGCUCGAGUGAUUCACGGUUAAGGAACUCGGCAAAUUAACCCCGUAACUUCGGAAAAAGGGGUGCCCUCUUCGGAGGGCCGCAGAGAAAUGGCUCAGGCGACUGUUUAACAAAAACACAUGGCUAUGCAAAAUCGAAAGAUAACGUAUAUGGCCUGACACCUGCCCGGUGCUGGAAGGUUAAGAGGGGAUGUUAGCGUAAGCGAGGCAUUGAAUCGAAGCCCCAGUAAACGGCGGCCGUAACAAUAACGGUCCUAAGGUAGCGAAAUUCCUUGUCGGGUAAGUUCCGACCUGCACGAAUGGUGUAACGAUCUGAGCACUGUCUCAACCGUGAGCUCGGUGAAAUUGUGGUAUCGGUGAAGACGCCGGUUAAUCGCAUCGGGACGGAAAGACCCCGUGCACCUUUACUAUAGCUUUGCAUUGACUUUGGGUAAAUAAUGUGUAGGAUAGGCGGGAGACUUUGAAGCUGUGUCGCUAGGCAUGGUGGAGUCAACCUUGAAAUACCGCCCUUUAUUUAUUUGGAGUCUAACUCGUCUUUGAUGAGGACAUUGCAUGGUGGGUAGUUUGACUGGGGUGGUCGCCUCCAAAAAAGUAUCGGAGGCUUCUAAAGGUCUGCUCAGUACGCUUGGUAACCGUACGUAGAGUGCAAUAGCAUAAGCAGGCUUGACUGUGAGGCAGACAAGCCGAGCAGGUACGAAAGUAGAGUAUAGUGAUCCGGUGGUUCUGCAUGGAAGGGCCAUCGCUCAUAGGAUAAAAGGUACGCCGGAUAACAGGCUGAUCUCCCCCAAGAGCUCAUAUCGACGGGGAGGUUUGGCACCUCGCUGUCGGCUCGUCACAUCCUGGGGCUGGAGAAGGUCCCAAGGGUUCGGCUGUUCGCCGAUUAAAGUGGCACGCGAGCUGGGUUCAGAACGUCGUGAGACAGUUCGGUCCCUAUCUGAUGUGAUCGUUGGAAGUUUGAGAGGAUCUGACCUUAGUACGAGAGGACCGGGUCGGACGUACCUCUGGUGUAUCUGUUGUGGCGCCAGCUGCAUCGCAGAGUAGCUAUGUACGGACAAGAUAAGCGCUGAAAGCAUCUAAGCACGAAACUUACCUCAAGAUGAGACUUCCUUUAAGAGUCGUUGAAGACUACAACGUUGAUAGGCUGCAGAUGUAAAGAUGGUAACAUCAUAGUCGAGCAGUACUAAUUACUCGAAAAA